ACCGUUUCUCUUUAGAUCACCGAAGUCAAGCAUCAUUGGGCGCUGUUAGUAUUUGGGUGGGUGACCAUCUGGGAACACCGCGUGCCGUU